rnacentral:lncRNA from 1 species
GCGCGGACCGGCGUCCAUGCUGCCGGCGCGGCGGGAGCCCGGCCCCGCGCCCACCCGCCCCGCGGUCCGCGCGCCCACUUACUUUCGGGGCCGCUGACCUCGCGGCUCCCUCGGGGGGGCGGGGGGGAAACGAAAGUUGUCACGGCGUCUCCCCGCGGGGCCCCCUCGCCUCCCGGACCCGCGAGGCGCCGCGGCGGAGCCGGGAGGGCUUGCUGCGCUCCCGCCCGCGUCCGUCCCGUCGCGCUCUCCUCCGCCUCCUCUUCUUUUCACUAUAUUAUCUUCUCCUGCUCGGAGGGGCGGGUGGGGGCGGGAGGCUUAGGAAGCGAGGAGACGUUUGCAACUUUUCUUCACUCUUUCUCUCCCCCCCACCAACCCCCGAUCAGCCUUGAAAAAACACUGUUGAAAGGGGCGAGGAACCUGUGGAGGUGGCGGGGGGGACGCGGAGGGGGUCGGGAGAGGUGAUGAUAGUCGUUUGGAAAACUGAUCAGAGCCCCCCCGCCCCAAACAGAGAUACCCAGAAAGAGGGGGAAAGGCGGGGGGUGGGGUGGGAUGGGGGGUUGGGGGGAAAGAGAAAGAGUCGCUGGUCAGGAAACUUCAAGCGCGGAUGAGGUCAUUGGUUUAAAAAUAAAGAGAUGGCGUCACUUGAAACCAAUCCCAGUGAAUGAACUCAGCGGAGCCCCGGGGAAAGGAGGAGACAGGCAGGGCAGGGCGGUGGGCGACGGGCGGGGCCGUGCGUCCGCCCGAACCCGGAGCGCGGCUCGGCGCCUGGUCGCGGCCGCUCGGGGAGGGGUCGGGUCACGUUCCGUUCCGGGGCCCGGCGACUCCGGGGCAGGUUCCGCGGGCGCCGCUGGGAGGAGCCGGGUGGCCGGGGGAGGCGGCCCCGCGGCCUCCUCCUUCCGCGCCCGCGCGCCGGCUGCCCCCGGGGCCCCCGAUCCCCGACCCUCGGGCCGGGUCUCGGCCGCGUAGGGCUGCGCCCCAACAGACCUGCUGUCUUCAGAACAGUUACCGAAGAGAGAGUUGGAGAGGAUCUGCAUCUCCAGUCUGCUUAGUUGGAGGAGUUGAGAUUCGGAAGAAGGAAGGAGAAGAGAGAGAAUCCUUGUCCUAGACUAGAUCCUGGAUCUAUUGGAUGAAAGACCUCUUUACAUGCUGAGCCCCAGUCGCCUUAUUCUGACACAUCUUGAAACCUCUCUCUCCUCUUUCUUCAUUGACAAUUAAAUUGGAGCACCUUCCAUAUGUAUGCUAUUAUGGGAGUCUCCCCCUGUAUAUCAUCUAAUUAGGAAAGCAACACAAAUUAACACCAAUUAAAAACCAAAUUAAACCUCCCAGGAUCGCAUCUGGAGAAUGGCUUGUAUUCUGCCAGCUUCGGAGUCGGGAGGGAAAGCAAGCCUGGCAGAGGUACCCAUUCCAUUCCCAGUUUGCUCAGUAUCUGGUGAUUGGAAGACACUCUGCAACAAGAGUUCAAGCCUCCGGGCAGGGCGAGAAAGUCCUUCCAAGAAGUCAUCUUUGACGUGGUCUCUUGCCUCUUUCUUGAAGGCAUCAUGGCCGCCCUCAGACCCCUCGUGAAGCCUAAGAUCGUCAAGAAGAGGACCAAGAAGUUCAUUAGGCAUCAGUCAGAUCGAUAUGUCAAAAUCAAGCGGAACUGGCGGAAACCCAGAGGCAUUGACAACAGGGUACGCAGAAGAUUCAAGGGCCAGAUCUUGAUGCCCAACAUCGGUUACGGAAGUAACAAGAAAACCAAGCACAUGCUGCCCAGCGGCUUCCGGAAGUUCCUGGUCCACAACGUCAAGGAGCUUGAGGUGCUGCUGAUGUGCAACAAAUCUUACUGUGCUGAGAUUGCUCACAACGUCUCCUCCAAGAACCGCAAGGCCAUUGUGGAAAGAGCAGCCCAGCUGGCCAUCAGGAUCACCAAUCCCAAUGCCAGACUGCGCAGCGAGGAAAAUGAAUAGACAGCUCGUGUGCACAUUUUGUUUGUGGUAAUAAAAGCAUAAAACCCGAAAAAAAAAAAAAAAAAAACCAAAUUAAUGAUUGAGUGGCAUACAAUAUUGGUUUAAAGAGUCCAGCGAACUCUUCAUGUCAUUGUAUGGCAAAAAAACCACCACAAUAUUGUAAAGAUAUUAUCCUCAAAUUAAAAUAUAUUUUAAAAAAUUUUUAAGUAAAAAAAAAGAAAGGUAGAGUCCAGAAGAGGAAAGGAGUGAUGUUGGCUGUGUUGUCAGGGAAAGCAUCUUCUGAAGAUCUUUGACUUCAUGCUUGAAGGUAGUUAAGAUUUAGUUCGGUGUAAGAGGGUUCAGCAGAGGGACUAUUAUAGAUAGGAAAUGGCAGAGCAGACAUGGAGAUGGAUUGCAUAAAGGGUAUUCAGGUGCGGGAUGAGUAGACCCCUCUAAUAAUAGUAGGGGUUGGAGUGUAGCAAUUAAGAAUUAGGCCAAAUUUGAAAUGUAGAAGCACAUUAAAGAGGUACAUGAAUGGUUCAAUACAUAGCUUGUUACUAGUCCAGCAAAUAAGCACUGAACAAGUUUACUUCACUAAAGGGUAUUUGCCUUCUUGUUCUACUAAGAGAGCUUCUAUACAUGCCAACAACAAACAUAUUUUAAAUAGUACCAUUUACAAUUGCUCCAAAGAAUGUGAACUACUUAGGUUUAAAUCUAACAAACCAUGUGCAGGAUCUGUAUGCUGAAAAUUAUAAAAUAUUGAUGAAAGACAUUAAAGAAGACCUAAAUAAUUGGAGUGACUUGCUAUAUUCAUGGCUUGGAAACCCAAUAGAGUAAAUAUGUCAGUUCUUCCAAAAUUGACUUAUAGAUUUCACACAGUUUCUAUCAGAACCCCAGCAAGGUUUUUUUGGUAGGCAUAGCCAACUUAACGUAAAACUGCGUCCAGUAUGUUUAAAGAAUUGAGUGAGUGCUAGAUUUCCCAAAGGCAGGCAAAGGUCUCAUGUACUUAGGACACCAGCAAAGCGGAGGCUCUGAGGUCUUAGAAUCAGAUCAUUUGGGAAGAAGCUGUCUUUGUUGCAGUACAUGUAAAUGUACAGUUUAGUACUGGUUCUAGUUAGAGUUUAAUAUGAGGGAGGUGCACCAAAUAUUUUAGCUAGAAUUAAAGAUGGAAGAGGAGCACCAUAAUCUUUAGUGCUUAGACCCCCUGAAGGUUUUAAUCUGUCCCUAGCCCUGGGAAUAAAUAAGAGAGGCAAGGUCCCAUCUCGCAAGGAACAUCUUCGCAACAUUCUAGUGGGAAAAGAAGACAAAAACAGCCAGAGCUGUAACAAGAUCAGUUCUACAGGAGAAAUUGGGUGUUGUGAUAGCGCAUGUUGAAGAGGAGUUAAGGUGUUUGGGAGAGGCAUUUAGGAGGAGGGGGCACUUGAACUGAAGCCUGAAGGAUAGCCGCCAGGGACAUGGUCUGAGCAGACGCAGCAGGUCACUCUGAGACUGUUCAGCAAAAACAGUGUGACUUGUAGAGAGCCGCUAAUGUUGCCAGAGCAAAAGCAAGGCCAGUGGAUCUCAAAAGUACAAAACUAGGACCCAGACCACAUAGGCCUUUAUAAUGUACAGAAAGGAAUUUGCAUUCUUCUGUGGGAGAUUUAAGCAGGUUAGUACAUGACCUGAUUUAUGAAGAAGGUAUUUACAAGUAAACACAAUAGUUUAGUUUUGAAAAGAGUUUCAAUAAUAUUCUGCAUGUAUUUUUUCACUUUACAGCUCCCUUUUCCAAUGGGAAGUAAGCAUUUUUUAUAAUUUCGUUAAUCUCCAGGGAUCCCUUUAACGUUCCCAAAUCAAAUAUUCUUAGCUUAGGGUUCAUGGAUUCUUACAGAGUACAUGGAUGGACUUCAGAAGGUCUAGGAGCCCCCUAAAAUUGUGUACUAUAUGCUUAUGUGUGUUUUCCUGUGGUCCCUAACUUUCAACAGAUUUUCAAAGUGUUUUAUCAGUAUACAUACAAAUAAGACCUACUUUUAGUCUUGGCUGUGUCUUUUUGGACAGUGUGUUAGUCACUCAGUCGUGUCCGAUUCUUUGCGACCCCAUGGACUGUGGCCUGCCAGACUCCUCUGUCCAUGGGAUUCUCCAGGCAAGAAUACUGGAGUGGAUUCCCAUUCCCUUCUCCAGAGGAUCUUUCCAAUCCAGGGAUCGAACCCGGGUCUCCUGCACUGCAGGCAGAUUCUUUAUCGUCUGAGCUACGGGGCUGCUGCUGUUGUCCUAGGGCUCAUGGCUCCGCACAAAUGAAUUCCAGUUCUGGAAGGAAGCAGGUUCUGCCUCAAAGAGGUGAUACUAUGUUGGAGGAGACACUAUUCUGUCAGAAUUAGGAGAGAAUAUUCUGAGUUUGCCUCUGAAGGAAGUUCUGGGAAGAAAAUUGUACCUAUGUGAUGUGAAAGCUAGUAGAUACCUAGGUCAUUACCUGAUACCAUCCCACUCACUUUAUAUAUAAGAAAUCGAAGGUCCAGAGAGGUUAAGUGGCUUGCCCAAGAAUGCACAGCUAGUUAGGGACGAAACUGGGAUUAAAAACAGGUUUACUGUCAUUCCAUACAGCGUUCUGUGCUCCUCGUCAGAAAAAUCUGGACCACAUAUCGUACUUAAAAAAGUCUAAUGGGAAUUAAGUAUUCAGUCUCACUCAAUUAAAUUAAACAAGAGGCUACAGAAAAACCUGAGUGAACUGUUUGGCUAACCCAAUACAUGCUCAUUCAUAAGGAAAUGGAAGAAAGGAGGGAGGUGAAAGAGUUCAAAAUCAUACAGUCCCAGCUCUGAAAGAGAUGAAAAACCUCAAUGUCAAAUUAAGAUGUCCAACCAACAAAUAGCAACAACACUGUUAUCAGUGUAUAUCUGAUCUUUGUGUAGCAGAUAUGUAAACCGACACAGCAAGUUACAAACACUGGAUGAUUUUUCAUUUAUCAAUUUGGCAAGGAUUUUUAAAAUGAGUAAUCCCAGGAUUGAGUCGAGUGUGGAGACACAGAAAAGUAGAAAGAAAAGCAGUGAAUGUGGCUGUUACAGAAAGCUAAGAAGAGAGCAUUUCAAGAAAGGAAAGAGUGUGUUUCCAGUGAGUUAAUACCUAAGGAAGAUAAGGUUAAAAAAAAAGUCUUCCUUGGACUUAGCAACUAAGUGACUCUGAAGAGGGUGGUUUCAUCAAAGACGAUCUUGAAGAGGCAAGAUGGCAGUGAGUUCACCAGGGAAUGAGAAGGAAGGGAGGAAGUGGAAACAGUGAAAUAGAAAUUAUUCUUUUAGAAACUUCUAAUCCCAGUUUCAUCCCUAACUAGCUGUGGAUUCGUGGGCAAUAGAAACUGUUAAAAGGAAGUGAAAAGCAUCCUACCCAGCUUCAGGCAGAUGGAGAACAUUUCAACCCAGCAAAGGUCCUACUGACCUCCUCAAUUUCCUCCACUGUUGUUAUGAGGGUUAAAAACCCAGUAUACAUCUUGUACAAAGGAGCUGGUUGUUUCCAUAUUGGAUUAACAUGGUGAUGCUAGUUUAUUUUCACAUUCCAUUUAAUUUGUAGUUUCUUUAUAGUCGUGAUUU